rnacentral:sRNA from 1 species
ACAGUAUUCUAUUGCCUGCGCUUAAUUGCGCGGCGAUAAACCUUACACAACGUGUUUUUUUAUUAUGAACUAUUACUUUGGUCUGGCUAAGAAAUUAGUUGGGCCAGAGGUGAUUUAAACUUCAAUUUUAUUGAAUUGUUAUUUUAAUUUUUGUCAAUUUGUUGAUUAAAUUCAAAACAAUCUUCAAAACUUUCAACAACGGAUCUCUUGGUUCUCGCAUCGAUGAAGAACGCAGCGAAAUGCGAUAAGUAAUAUGAAUUGCAGAUUUUCGUGAAUCAUCGAAUCUUUGAACGCACAUUGCACCCUCUGGUAUUCCAGAGGGUAUGCCUGUUUGAGCGUCAUUUCUCUCUCAAACCCUUGGGUUUGGUAUUGAGUGAUACUCUUAGUUGAACUAGGCGUUUGCUUGAAAUAUAUUGGCACGAGUAGUGUUGAACAGUGUUGUCUGAACAUCAAUGUAUUAGGUUUAUCCAACUCGUUGAUACAGGUAGUACGAUUCUUCAUUAGGCUUUGCCUUAUAAAACACAAACAAGUUUGACCUCAAAUCAGGUAGGAUUACCCGCUGAACUUAAGCAUAUCAAUAAGCGGAGGAAAAGAAACCAACAGGGAUUGCCUUAGUAACGGCGAGUGAAGCGGCAAAAGCUCAAAUUUGAAAUCUAGCACCUUCGGUGUUCGAGUUGUAAUUUGAAGAAGGUAACCUUGGGAUUGGCUCUGUCUAUGUUUCUUGGAACAGAACGUCACAGAGGGUGAGAAUCCCGUGCGAUGAGAUGACCAAUUCUAUGUAAGGUGCUUUCGAAGAGUCGAGUUGUUUGGGAAUGCAGCUCUAAGUGGGUGGUAAAUUCCAUCUAAAGCUAAAUAUUGGCGAGAGACCGAUAGCGAACAAGUACAGUGAUGGAAAGAUGAAAAGAACUUUGAAAAGAGAGUGAAAAAGUACGUGAAAUUGUUGAAAGGGAAGGGUAUGAGAUCAGACUUGGUGUUUUGCAACCUUAUCUUCGGAUGGGGCCCCUGCAGUUCAUCGGGCCAGCAUCAGUUUGGAUGGUAGGAUAAUGACAUUGGAAUGUGACUUGGCUUCGGUUAAGUGUUAUAGCCCU